rnacentral:rRNA from 1 species
UUCGGUCUGCUACCUCAUUACCCAUGUCUUUUAAGUACCUUCGUUUCCUCGGCGGGUCCGCCCGCCGAUUGGACAACAUUCAAACCCUUUGCAGUUGCAAUCAGCGUCUGAAAAAACAUAAUAGUUACAACUUUCAACAACGGAUCUCUUGGUUCUGGCAUCGAUGAAGAACGCAGCGAAAUGCGAUAAGUAGUGUGAAUUGCAGAAUUCAGUGAAUCAUCGAAUCUUUGAACGCACAUUGCGCCCCUUGGUAUUCCAUGGGGCAUGCCUGUUCGAGCGUCAUUUGUACCUUCAAGCUCUGCUUGGUGUUGGGUGUUUUGUCUCGCCUCUGCGUGUAGACUCGCCUUAAAACAAUUGGCAGCCGGCGUAUUGAUUUCGGAGCGCAGUACAUCUCGCGCUUUGCACUCAUAACGGCGACGUCCAAAAGUACAUUUUUACACUCUUGACCUCGGAUCAGGUAGGGAUACCCGCUGAACUUAAGCAUAUCAAUAAGCGGAGGAAUU